UUCUACAGACCACUCUUUAACCCUGGAGAACCCAUGGGGUCGGAUCUGACCCCAUGGGUUCUCCAGAGUUAAAUAUCCUCUCUUUUUCCCUCUGAUGUUGCAAAACCAUUAAAUACACCACUGUCACAUCGGUUGACGUAUUCUCAUCCUGCCGCUGUGAAUACUUGCAUCGCCAAAAUGCAUCAGUCCACAGCCGAAAAUAGUCCCAAACAAAUGCAUUAUUUAGUCCUACUAAAAACUACAAUGCCCAGCAUAUUCACGGAGAACAAAUGGCUUCAGACUAAUGCAUUUCCAGCCUUUUUUGUUUGUUUUUUUAGGGGGAGGGGGAUGAAUUCUGCGCACCUACUGAUGUGCGCUUUAAUUAGUUCCCCGGAGAACAAAUUAAAUUGCUAAUCAAACAGCAGCCCCGGUUAGAUUAGUAAGCAGCUGUGUAAUUCAGCUCCUCCACAGUGGAAUGAUUUGUUGGGAUCUUGUGUGCCAUGUUAAUCGCUUAACGGCUGGCUGACAUAUAUAAAUGGCUUUCCACUUGGGGGCAACAAACACUCACCUGCACGGGUUGGUUGGUUCAAGGACAAAACUGCUAUCUAAAGGACAAAAAACUAAGACGCUGCUGUCACCGAGGAAGCAUUGGGGAUCUGUGCCUGGGCAUGACAUGCAGCAAUCAUGUCAACCAGUCAAACAAACUGGACUUCGCACUCAAUCAGUCACUUUUGGGUACCGUACAGGUGGCCUAGUCCAUAACAGCACUGGCCGGGUGCGAUAUGGGUACAGAAGCUCUGGGGAAGUCUGGCACCAGGACAUUGGCAGUGGAUCCUUCGGGUCCUGUGGGAUACAAGUGAAGCCUCGAUGGAUUAAUCUUUUACCGGCACAUCCCACGGAUACUUUAUUGGACUGGGAAGUUGGCGAUGUGUUCAUGAGAGUGCUUCUACUGUGGGAGCCCACAGCAACAACCUUUUGGUGGGUGGUCAGAAACAGAAAUGCCAUAAGCCAGUGUGUCCCGGCAUAACAUUGUGUUGCAACCAGAUGAUCAGUAUUAUUCAAUGUCGUGGCCUAUGUAUUAUUUUACAGUGGCUUGCUAUUUCCUCACGCUUCAAACGUGCCUAAUAAGCUAACCUAACUACCUUCUCACUGUAACCUUUCUGUGUAUUUUCAGUAUGAAACCCUUAUCAAUAUUCUUAAUAAAUCAAAUCUGCUUAUUUCCAAAAUGUAAAAGUAUUCCUUUAAUUUAAAAUAUCGUGCGCUGUCUUUACAGUCCUGAACUUCACGAAGUAACUUAGUCAGGUCAUGCACUUCUUUCUCGUUUCAAAUCACAGACCUUAUUAUCAACCAGACUUAAUCAUGUUUCCCUUGUUCACAAGGUGGAUAUUUGUACUGCGUCUAGUACACUCAGUCAAUAAUGCAUUUUUUUCUCAGCGUGACUAUUACCUGCUCUUUGAUCCACAAUGAAAUGUGGGCUUACAUCAUUUCUCAAUGUUCUACAUUCAUAAACUAUUCCUUCCCAAGUCUCAGUUCUUGACACCGUUCAGGCUCAGAGGGGAUGAGCCCUACACACAGAAUAGCUAAUACAGCUACCAGCAGCUCAGACAGAGGGGAGUAAUACCAGAAUCCCCGUCUUGUCAUUUCUCACAGGCUUAGUCCCGCUUUCAUCUUUGAUGUACACUGUAUCCUAAUGUAAUGCCGCAUCCAUGUAUCUUGAUCCACUUUGUACUUCGACUGACUCAGCAAUGGGAUAAGUGUAAUUAAACUGUAGUUUUGCAUAAGAUAGAAGCUUUAAAGACAUUUUCGCAUGAACGUUACACGUCUCGUAGCCUUGGAAGUAGAGAAGAGUGAAAGAUCUGGCGUCAGGGUCAGUCCCUUGGUCACUCGGGGCUGACGUGAAUCACUGUGUAUCUCCGUUGUUUAUACUGUGGAAAAGAUUUUUAAUUAGCCCCUUAUUUUCACUGCAUGUGCAAGUGGCAUUUCCAGAUAUAAAAACUCUUUUGCAACUUUUAUCAGAAUAAAAUAAUUUAUAUUCUCUUGACAGGAAACAGUUCUUUGUGAUUGUCAGACAGACUGUCGGCGGAUAAAUCGGAAUAAUCCGUUCGCAGUAAUAAGCAUUCAACACUAUGUCCAAAGAGAAUAAAAUAGAUAAAAUGAAUUGCAAUGAUGCCUUUUUUCUUUCUUUCUUUUUUUUGGUAACACCCCCUCUCCGCCUGCUACCCCCCUGAAAAAGAAGAUGAUUAAUAGCAAGUAACUGUGGACACCGACUGAAUGAAAAAAAGUACAAUCAAGAAGGCAAAUUAACAGUCAUUUACUGCAAGGUUUAGACUCAGUGUAAUAAAAUGCUCUUUUUGGAAUAGAUGUAAAUGUAUUUCUUUUUUUAUAAUUUAUUGUAACUCCAAACAAAAAUAAUUUCUACAAAAAAUAUUCAAAUAAUGUCAUAUAAUAUCGAUACGUGGUUCAUAUCUUUUCUCUCUCUUUUAGACUUCUGAUUAGUUAAAUUCUUCUUCCUGAAUACUGUGUGAAGAUUAAAUCUCGCUAAGUGUGGCAACAAUCACUCAUUCCUAUAACAACCAUAAUAGUGACUAAUGUAUUAUAAUUCAUAACCCCCUGGAUAUUAUAUAAUAUGUAUAAUCUCAGCAACUGCUAGUGGGCACAUUAGAUACAAUGACUGAAGAUAUAUAUUUUUUUUUU